rnacentral:rRNA from 1 species
AGCUUGCUCACAGGAUUUUACUCAUAUCCAUAACACCUGUGCACUUGUCGGAUGGCUUAGUGAAGACCGCAAGGUUGGAACUAUCCAUCUACUUUACAUAACAAUCCUGUAACAAAUGUAGUCUUAUUAUAACAUAAUAAAACUUUCAACAACGGAUCUCUUGGCUCUCGCAUCGAUGAAGAACGCAGCGAAAUGCGAUAAGUAAUGUGAAUUGCAGAAUUCAGUGAAUCAUCGAAUCUUUGAACGCACCUUGCGCUCCUUGGUAUUCCGAGGAGCAUGCCUGUUUGAGUGUCAUGAAAACCCUCAACCUUAGAUUGGUUAUUUGACCUUUCUUUGGCUUGGAUUUGGACGUUUGCCGAUGAUAAAUCGGCUCGUCUUAAAAGUAAUAGCUGGAUCUGUCUCGCGACAUGGUUUGACUUGGCGUAAUAAGUAUUUCGCUAAGGACAUCUUCGGAUGGCCACGUUGCAGGACUAAAGACCGCUUUCUAAUCCAUUGAUCUUCGGAUUAAUAUUCUUGACAUCUGGCCUCAAAUCAGGUAGGACUACCCGCUGAACUUAAGCAUAUCAAUAAGCGGAGGA